rnacentral:rRNA from 1 species
CCUACGGGUGGCAGCAGUGGGGAAUAUUGCACAAUGGGCGCAAGCCUGAUGCAGCCAUGCCGCGUGUGUGAAGAAGGCCUUCGGGUUGUAAAGCACUUUCAGCGGGGAGGAAGGCGGUGAGGUUAAUAACCUCAUCGAUUGACGUUACCCGCAGAAGAAGCACCGGCUAACUCCGUGGCCAGCAGCCGCGGUAAUACGGAGGGUGCAAGCGUUAAUCGGAAUUACUGGGCGUAAAGCGCACGCAGGCGGUCUGUCAAGUCGGAUGUGAAAUCCCCGGGCUCAACCUGGGAACUGCAUUCGAAACUGGCAGGCUAGAGUCUUGUAGAGGGGGGUAGAAUUCCAGGUGUAGCGGUGAAAUGCGUAGAGAUCUGGAGGAAUACCGGUGGCGAAGGCGGCCCCCUGGACAAAGACUGACGCUCAGGUGCGAAAGCGUGGGGAGCAAACAGGAUUAGAUACCCUAGUAGUC